UACGUAGGGAGCAAGCGUUGUUCGGAUUUACUGGGCGUAAAGGGCGCGUAGGCGGCGUGUUAAGUCAGCUGUGAAAUCUCCAAGCUCAACUUGGAACGGCCAGCUGAUACUGAUGUGCUAGAGUGCAGAAGGGGCAAUCGGAAUUCUUGGUGUAGCGGUGAAAUGCGUAGAUAUCAAGAGGAACACCUGAGGUGAAGACGGGUUGCUGGGCUGACACUGACGCUGAGGCGCGAAAGCCAGGGGAGCAAACGGG
rnacentral:rRNA from 3 species